rnacentral:rRNA from 1 species
AACGAACGCUGGCGGCAUGCCUAACACAUGCAAGUCGAACGAGACCUUCGGGUCUAGUGGCGCACGGGUGCGUAACGCGUGGGAACCUGCCCUUAGGUUCGGAAUAACUCCCCGAAAGGGGUGCUAAUACCGGAUAAUGUCUUCGGACCAAAGAUUUAUCGCCUUUGGAUGGGCCCGCGUUGGAUUAGCUAGUUGGUAGGGUAAAAGCCUACCAGGGCGACGAUCCAUAGCUGGUCUGAGAGGAUGAUCAGCCACACUGGGGCUGAGACACGGCCCAGACUCCUACGGGAGGCAGCAGUGGGGAAUAUUGGACAAUGGGCGAAAGCCUGAUCCAGCAAUGCCGCGUGAGUGAUGAAGGCCUUAGGGUUGUAAAGCUCUUUUACCCGGGAUGAUAAUGACAGUACCGGGAGAAUAAGCUCCGGCUAACUCCGUG